CUGGAUUCUUCUGAAGGUCAUCCAUUCCAUUAGAAGGGUUUAUUUCCAGAGAUUCUUAGAGCCAGGCUGCUUUUGGUUCCAAAAGACCCUUAGUUGGAUGCAGAGCAGUACGUCAUUUGCUUUAUGGCUGAAGGUAAGCUUAUCCAAGGAAGCAACUGGGAAGCCCAGUGGUUAAGAAUACACCUGCCAGUGUAGGGGACACGAGUUUGAUCCCUGGUCUGGGAAGAUUCUACAUGCCGCUGGGCACCUGAGCCUGUAAGCUACACCUAUUGAGUCCAUGACUACAUGCCACAACUACAGAAGCCUGUGUGUUCUGGAGUCUACACUCUGCAACAAGAGAGACCACCACAAUAAGAAGCCUGCACACCACCACUAGAGAGUAGUCCCCAGUUGCAGCAACUGGAGGAAGCCUGUGCACAGAUAUGAAGACCCAGCACAGCCAAAAAUAAAAAUUGACUAAUUAAUUAAUGAAUUAAAAACAAAUAAAAGGUGACAAUGGUAACUAUUGUGCUG
ensembl:lncRNA